CGGCGGACGGGUGAGUAACGCGUGGACAACCUGCCCUAUGCAGGGGGAUAACAUCCGGAAACGGGUGCUAAUACCGCAUAAGCGCACAGUACCGCAUGGUACAGUGUGAAAAGCUGAGGCGGCAUAGGAUGGGUCCGCGUUGGAUUAGGCAGUUGGCGGGGUAACGGCCCACCAAACCGACGAUCCAUAGCCGGCCAGAGAGGGUGGACGGCCACAUUGGGACUGAGACACGGCCCAGACUCCUACGGGAGGCAGCAG
rnacentral:rRNA from 1 species